rnacentral:rRNA from 1 species
GAUGAACGCUAGCUACAGGCUUAACACAUGCAAGUCGAGGGGUAACGAGAGGAAAGCUUGCUUUCCUUGUCGACGACCGGCGCACGGGUGAGUAACGCGUAUCCAACCUGCCCCCAACUAGGGAAUAACCUUGCGAAAGUAAGACUAAUACCCUAUAAUUUCCUCAGAUGUCAUCUGACGAGGAAUAAAGAUUUAUCGGUUGUGGAUGGGGAUGCGUCUGAUUAGCUUGUUGGCGGGGUAACGGCCCACCAAGGCAACGAUCAGUAGGGGUUCUGGGAGGAAGGACCCCCAUAUUGGAACUGAGGCACGGACCAAACUCCUACGGGAGGCAGCAGUGAGGAAUAUUGGUCAAUGGGCGGAAGCCUGAACCAGCCAAGUAGCGUGCAGGAUGACGGCCCUAUGGGUUGUAAACUGCUUUUAUACAGGAAUAAAGUUAGCCACGUGUGGUUAUUUGUAGGUACUGUAUGAAUAAGGACCGGCUAAUUCCGUGCCAGCAGCCGCAGUAA